rnacentral:lncRNA from 1 species
CUCCGCUGGCCCGCGUGAAACCCUCUCUGCUGCCUCGACUGACUGUCGUUUCCGUGUCUUGAUUGUGGCCUCUGCCUCUCCCCCUUCCGAUUUCGUUCGACUUCUUUCUACAGUUACUAAGCGCCCACUGUGUGCCCUGGAAGGGACUAGACUCAGCAGGAAAAACAUCCAGGCAAGUGGACAGCAUUUGCAACAGCCCAGCAAUAAGAAGGACCAUAUUCUACUUGGGAAAAGCCUGCCAGGAAACCUGUCAUUCAACCCUUUGCAAUAAAACAGCUCCUCAUGAAUGAAGCAAAAUAAAUCAGAAGUUGUGGGCUUUUAAACUCACUAAAUGAAAGCACAGCAUGCAUGCAGCCUCCCUCCAAAUUAAUCACCAGAUUAAAUGCAAGAUGUGCACACCAAAUCAAUAGCUUGUGACGGGGACCUCCUGCCUGUGCUUCAGGAAAAUUCCAUUUCCUUUCAGAUGUUGUCGCUUGAAAUGUCAGGAAGUUUCCAUUCAUCACCCGCCCUUGAAAAUGCCACCAUCACCAUACUUCAUGUUUCCUUGCUUUCUUUCUUCAGAGGAAUCCAAGCACCUUGCAGAGGGAGCCCACUCCUUGUCACAG